AACGAACGCUGGCGGCAUGCCUAACACAUGCAAGUCGAACGAGACCUUCGGGUCUAGUGGCGCACGGGUGCGUAACGCGUGGGAACCUGCCCUUAGGUUCGGAAUAACUCCCCGAAAGGGGUGCUAAUACCGGAUAAUGUCUUCGGACCAAAGAUUUAUCGCCUUUGGAUGGGCCCGCGUUGGAUUAGCUAGUUGGUAGGGUAAAAGCCUACCAAGGCGACGAUCCAUAGCUGGUCUGAGAGGAUGAUCAGCCACACUGGGACUGAGACACGGCCCAGACUCCUACGGGAGGCAGCAGUGGGGAAUAUUGGACAAUGGGCGAAAGCCUGAUACAGCAAUGCCGCGUGAGUGAGGAAGGCCUUAGGGUUGUAAAGCUCUUUUACCCGGGAUGAUAAUGACAGUACCGGGAGAAUAAGCACCGGCUAACUCCGUG
rnacentral:rRNA from 1 species